UCCGGUUGAUCCUGCCGGACCCGACUGUUAUCAGAGUGGGACUAAGCCAUGCGAGUCAACGCAGCAAUGCGUGGCAUACGGCUCAGUAACACGUAGUCAACAUGCCCAGGGGACGUGGAUAACCUCGGGAAACUGAGGAUAAACCGCGAUAGGCCAAGGUUUCUGGAAUGGAUCAUGGCUGAAACCUAUAUGGCCCCUGGAUUGGACUGCGGCCGAUCAGGCUGUUGGUGAGGUAAUGGCCCACCAAACCUGUAACCGGUACGGGCUCUGAGAGGAGGAGCCCGGAGAUGGGCACUGAGACAAGGGCCCAGGCCCUAUGGGGCGCAGCAGGCGCGAAACCUCUGCAAUAGGCGAAAGCUUGACAGGGUUACUCUGAGUGAUGUCCGCUAAGGGCAUCUUUUGGCACUUCUAAAAAUAGUGUAGAAUAAGGGGUGGGCAAGUCUGGUGUCAGCCGCCGCGGUAAUACCAGCACCCCGAGUGGUCGGGACGAUUAUUGGGCCUAAAGCAUCCGUAGCCGGUUCUGCAAGUCUUCCGUUAAAUCCACCUGCUCAACAGAUGGGCUGCGGAGGAUACUACAGGGCUAGGAGGCGGGAGAGGCAAGCGGUACUCAGUGGGUAGGGGUAAAAUCCUCUGAUCCACUGAAGACCACCAGUGGCGAAGGCGGCUUGCCAGAACGCGCUCGACGGUGAGGGAUGAAAGCUGGGGGAGCAAACCGGAUUAGAUACCCGGGUAGUCCCAGCUGUAAACGAUGCAGACUCGGUGAUGGGUUGGCUUCGAGCCAACCCAGUGCCGCAGGGAAGCCGUUAAGUCUGCCGCCUGGGGAGUACGGUCGCAAGACUGAAACUUAAAGGAAUUGGCGGGGGAGCACCACAAGGGGUGAAGCCUGCGGUUCAAUUGGAGUCAACGCCGGAAAUCUUACCGGGAGCGACAGCAGAGUGAAGGUCAAGCUGAAGACUUUACCAGACAAGCUGAGAGGAGGUGCAUGGCC
rnacentral:rRNA from 1 species